GACAGAGGGGGCAAGCGUUGCUCGGAAUUACUGGGCGUAAAGGGCGCGUAGGCGGGAUGGCAAGUCGGUCGUGAAAUCCUUCGGCUCAACCGAGGAACGUCGAUCGAUACUGCUGUUCUUGAGGAUUGCAGAGGAGACUGGAAUUCCCGGUGUAGCGGUGAAAUGUGUAGAGAUCGGGAGGAACACCGGUGGCGAAGGCGGCAUCCUGGACCGACACUGACACUGAGGAGCGAAAGCCAGGGGAGCAAACGGG
rnacentral:rRNA from 1 species